AUGAGGCAAAGGCCACAGCUGCCGCUUCCUCAGCCUUCCUUGGCCGCCCUUGGACACAGAGCCCUCUUCUGUCCUGUCUGCACCCACUCUUCCUGGGGCUGCGGUGCCCCGAGCAGCUGGUGCCGAGGCCACGUGGCCAGGACCCGAGGCGCCGGCGCCAGGAGGGUGAGCUUGGAAGCAGACCCGUGCUCAGGAUCUUCUAGGAUCUUGCCCUGGUCUUUACAAUUGUCUCGUCUAUACCUGAUUCAAUAGCAGUUUUUAAAAUUAAAUUACUUUUGAGAA